rnacentral:rRNA from 1 species
GAUGAACGCUGGCGGCGUGCUUAACACAUGCAAGUCGAGCGGAAAGGCUCCUGCUUGCAGGGGCACUCGAGUGGCGAACGGGUGAGUAACACGUGGGUGAUCUGCCCUGCACUUCGGGAUAAGCCUGGGAAACUGGGUCUAAUACCGGAUAGGACCAUCGUUUAGUGUCGGUGGUGGAAAGUUUUUUCGGUGUGGGAUGAGCUCGCGGCCUAUCAGCUUGUUGGUGGGGUAAUGGCCUACCAAGGCGUCGACGGGUAGCCGGCCUGAGAGGGUGUACGGCCACAUUGGGACUGAGAUACGGCCCAGACUCCUACGGGAGGCAGCAGUGGGGAAUAUUGCACAAUGGGCGCAAGCCUGAUGCAGCGACGCCGCGUGGGGGAUGACGGCCUUCGGGUUGUAAACUCCUUUCGCCAGGGACGAAGCGAAAGUGACGGUACCUGGAUAAGAAGCACCGGCUAACUACGUG